rnacentral:rRNA from 1 species
UGAAGUUUUCGGAUGGAUUUAAAACAGCUUAGUGGCGGACGGGUGAGUAACGCGUGGGUAACCUGCCUCACACUGGGGGAUAACAGUUAGAAAUAGCUGCUAAUACCGCAUAAGCGCACAGGAUCGCAUGAUCCGGUGUGAAAAACUCUGGUGGUAUGGGAUGGACCCGCGUCUGAUUAGCCAGUUGGCAGGGUAACGGCCUACCAAAGCGACGAUCAGUAGCCGACCUGAGAGGGUGACCGGCCACAUUGGGACUGAGACACGGCCCAAACUCC